rnacentral:lncRNA from 1 species
CUUAGCCUCCCAAGUAGCUGGGAUUACAGGCUCAAACCACCACGCCCGGCUAGUUUUUGUAUUUUUAGUAGAGACAGGGUUUCACCAUGUUGGCCAGGCUGGUCUCUAACUCCUGACCUCAAGUGAUCCACCCGCCUCGGCCUCCCUAAGUGCUGGGAUUACAGGCGUGAUCUGUAAUCACGUGCCCAGCCGUGAUCUUGUUUUCGUAUACACUGUUUAUAAUAACAAGAUUUCUGGCUAGGUGCAGUGGCUUAUGCCUCUAAUCCUAGCACUUUGGGAGGCCGAGGAGGGCAGAUCACUUGAGGUCAGGAGUUCAAAACCAGCCUGGCCAACAUGGUGCAACCCCAUCUCUACUAAAAAUACAAACAAAAAUAGCCGGGCGUGGUGGCGGGCACCUGUAAUCCCAGCUACUUGGGAAGCUGAGGCAGGAGAAUCACUUGAACCCGGGAGGCGGAGGUUGCAGUGAGCCGAGAUUGCGCCACUGCACUCCAGCCUGGGCCACAGAGCGAAGCUCCAUCUCAAAUAAUAAUAAUAAUAAUAAUAAUAAUAAUAAUAAUAAUAAUAAUAAUAUUUUCUCCAAUUAGCCAUAAGAAGUUACUUUGAGAAGAAUGUGUUAUUUUGGUCUUUUCACUGAGCUUAUUCUCACAAAUACUCUGAUUUCAUCUAAGUUUAUUCCAACUCACAGUAAAAAGUUACUUUGGGACCAGGCGCAGUGCCUCACGCCUGUAAUCCCAGCACUUUGGGAGAACAAGGUGGGCAGAUCACCUGUGGUCAGGCGUUCAAGACCAGCCUGGCUAACAUGGUGAAACCUGUCUCCACUAAAAAUACAAAAAAAAAUUAGCCGGGUGUGGUGACACAUGGCUACUUGGGAGGCUGAGGCUGAGGCAUGAGAAUUGCUUGAACUCGGGCAGUGGAGGUUGCAGUGAGCCAAGAUCGUGCCACUGCACUCCAGCCAGGGUGACAGAGCGAGACUCUGUCUCAAUUAAAAAAAAUAAAAAUAAAAACAAAGAGAGAAAAGUUAAUUACUUUGGAAGAAGAAUGUGUGAGUGAUUUUGGCCAGGCGCAGUGGCACAUGCUUGUGAUCCCAGCACUUUGGGAGGCCAAGGCGGGGGGAUCACUUGAAGUCAGGAGUUCGAGACGAGCCUGGCCAACAUGGUGAAAUCCUGUCUCUACUAAAAACACAAAAAAAUUAGCCGGGCAUAGUGGCACAUGCCUGUAGUCCCAACUAUUCCAGAGGCUGAGGCAGGAGAAUCACUUGAACCCAGGAGGCAGAGGUUGCAGUGAGCCAAGAUCACGCCACUGCACUCCAGCCUGGGCAACAGAGCAAGACUGUCUCAAAAAAAAAAAAAAAAGGAAGAAAGAAAGAAGAAAAAGAAAGAAAGAAAGAAGAAAAAGAAAGAGAAGAAAGAAAAGAAAGAAAGAAAAGAAAGUGUGAUUCUAAGCACAUCUUUACUUAUAAUGCUUAUGCUUAGACUAAUCUAAAUUUGCUCAAACUUUCAAGAAUUGGUUUCCUUGCCAAAGAAGGUGAGGUUCUGAGCUUGUUUUAAGACAUGCUGCUUCUUUUCAUCUAAUUUUGCCCUAACUCACAGUGGGAAAUUACUUUUGAGAAGAAUGUGUCAUUCUAAGCUUGUUUUCAUUUAUAUUGCUUAAUUUUACCUAGAGUUGCACUAAGUCACCAUAUGCAGUUAUUUUUUAGAACUAUGUCUGAUCUUGUGCUUGUUAGUACAUAUACAGCUUAGUUUCAUCUUCACAUACUCUUAACUCUCCAUAAGAUAUUACUUUUGAGAAAAAAAUUGUGAUUCUGAAUAUUUUAAAAUAAAGCUCUUAGUUUCACCUAGAUUAACUCACUAUAAAAUUUUAUUUAGGGAAAAUAUGUGAUUCUAAGUUAUUUUAUACAUAAAUUGCUUAAUUUUGCUGGAUUUAUUCUAACUCAUUGAGAAGUUACAUUGGAGUAGAAUGUGUGAUUCUGAGCUUGUUUUCACAUCAAUUACUCAGUUUCAUUUAGAUUUACUUUAAUCAGUUAAGAAUUUUUUAGGGCCCAAGUUAUUUGAAAGUAAACUGCUUGACCGGGCACAGUGGCUCACACCUGUAAUCCCAGCACUUUGGGAGGCUGAGGCGGGCAGAUCACAAGGUCAGGAGAUCCAGACCAUCCUGGCUAACAUGGUGAAACCUUGUCUCUACUAAAAAUACAAAAAAAUUAGCCAGGCGUGGUGGUGGGCGCCUGUGGUCCCAGCUACUCGGGAGGCUGAGGCAGGAGAAUGGCAUGAACCCGGGAGGCAGAGCUUGCAGUGAGCCGAG